rnacentral:lncRNA from 1 species
GCCGGUUUACACUCAUCCCCCAACUCCAGUUUAUACACAUCCACCAAAGCCAGUUUAUAGUCACCCCCCAACUCCAGUAUACACACAUCCACCCAAGCCGGUUUAUACUCAUCCCCCAACUCCCAAAUACUCCAAGCCACCAACGCCAGUUUAUACCAAGCCACCAACGCCAGUUUAUACACAUCCACCUACGCCAGUAUAUACUAAGCCACCAACGCCAGUUUAUACACAUCCUCCAACGCCAGUUUAUACACAUCCUCCAACUCCGGUUUAUUCACAUCCGCCUAUCUAUAAGAAGCCUUGCCCGCCCAUUGUUCCUCUGC